CAGAGCCCGUUAAAGGGUGAUGGCGUGCCUUUUGUAGAAUGAACCGGCGAGUUACUGUAUGGAGCGAGGUUAAGCAGGAUAUGCGGAGCCGAAGCGAAAGCGAGUCUUAAGAGGGCGAGAGUUGCAUGCAGUAGACCCGAAACCGGGUGAUCUAGCCAUGACCAGGUUGAAGUUGGGGUAAAACCCGAUGGAGGACCGAACCGACCCCCGUUGAAACGUUGGCGGAUGAGUUGUGGCUAGGGGUGAAAUUCCAAUCGAACCCGGAGAUAGCUGGUUCUCCCCGAAAUAGCUUUAGGGCUAGCGUCGAGGUAAGUUGCGUGAAGGUAGAGCACUGAAUAUGUGAUGGCCCCAUCUCGGGGUACUGAGCAUAAUCAAACUGCGAAUGUCACGCCAACAUGCUCGGCAGUCAGACAGCGGGUGAUAAGGUCCGUUGUCAAGAGGGAAACAGCCCAGACCAUCAGCUAAGGUCCCAAAAUGUAUGCUAAGUGGAAAAGGAUGUGGAGAUGUACAGACAACUAGGAGGUUGGCUCAGAAGCAGCCAUCCUUUAAAGAGUGCGUAACAGCUCACUAGUCGAAUGACUCUGCGCCGAUAAUUUACCGGGGCUAAGCAUACUACCGAAGCUAUGGAUCCCAAGGGAUGGUAGGGGAGCGUUCCAUGAACGGAGAAGUACGACCGAAAGGACGUGUGGAGAUCAUGGAAGAGAGAAUGCCGGUGUGAGUAGCGGAACGUGGGUGAGAAUCCCACGCACCGAAAACCCAAGGUUUCCAGAGGAAGGUUCGUCCGCUCUGGGUAAGUCGGGACCUAAGGCGAGGCCGAAAGGCGUAGUCGAUGGACAACAGGUAGAGAUUCCUGUACCCGUAUAUAUGUGAAGGAAUGACGGAGAGAGGAAGCUGCAGCCAGCGGCUGGAAGAGCUGGUGCAAGCGAGAUAUCGGGAUGGCAGGCAAAUCCACCAUCCGAAACGAGAAGGCGUGAAGCGUACGGAAAGCUACGGCGAGUACGGAAGGCAGUGGAGGAACUUCCAAGAAAAGUUUCUAACGUAAAGUAUAUAUGGCCCGUACCGAAAAUGGACACACAUGGGUGAGGAGAGAAUCCUAAGGUGAGCGAGAGAACUAUAGCUAAGGAACUCUGCAAAAUGACUCCGUAACUUAGGGAGAAGGAGUGCUCAUAGAGAUAUGAGCCGCAGUGAAACGGCCCAAGCGACUGUUUACCAAAAACACAGCUCUCUGCUAAGCCGCAAGGCGAAGUAUAGGGGGUGACGCCUGCCCGGUGCUGGAAGGUUAAGGGGAGGGGUUAACGCAAGUGAAGCCCUGAACUGAAGCCCCAGUAAACGGCGGCCGUAACUAUAACGGUCCUAAGGUAGCGAAAUUCCUUGUCAGGUAAGUUCUGACCCGCACGAAAGGCGUAACGAUUUGGGCGCUGUCUCAGCUGUAGACUCGGUGAAGUCUUAGUACCUGUGAAGAUGCAGGUUACCCGCGACUAGACGGAAAGACCCCAUGGAGCUUCACUGCAGGUUGAUAUUGGGAUUUGAUGCAGCAUGUACAGGAUAGGUAGGAGGCAAAGAGAUGGAUACGCCAGUAUUCAAGGAGCCGCUGUUGGGAUACUACCCCUGUUGUAUUGGAUUUCUAACCGGACGACGUAGAGCCGUUGACGGGACAGUGUCAGUCGGGCAGUUUGACUGGGGCGGUCGCCUCCCAAAGAGUAACGGAGGCGCCCAAAGAUACCCUCAGCUUGGAUGGAAACCAAGCGCAGAGUGCAAAGGCAAAAGGGUGUUUGACUGCGAGACCCACAAGUCGAGCAGGGACGAAAGUCGGGCUUAGUGAUCCGGCGGUGCUGAAUGGAAAGGCCGUCGCUCAACGGAUAAAAGCUACCCUGGGGAUAACAGGCUGAUCUCCCCCAA
rnacentral:rRNA from 1 species